AUCCUUACCUGGCAGGGGAGAUACCAUGAUCACGAAGGUGGUUUCCCCAGAGUGAGCCUUAUCCAUUGCACUCCGGAUGUGCUGACCCCUGCGAUUUCCCCAUAAUUUGUGGUGGUGGGGGACUGCGUUAGCACUCUCCCCUA
rnacentral:snRNA from 1 species